rnacentral:lncRNA from 1 species
GGCUGCCAGGACACUGGAAAUGAUUUGCCCGGACCACGCCCUGGGAAGUGCCCAUGUUUGGAAAGCCGGGCCGGAACCCCAAACCUCCGAGCUCAGGACUCUUUCUUCUGAACCCAGUUUUCCUGGGGGCCAGUGAGAAGUCUCUCUGGGUAAGGACGCAUGCCAGCAAGCUAUGACCUGGGCUUGAUGUCUGGAACCCACACAGUAGAAGGAGAGAACUGACUCUCACAGGCUGCCCCCCUGAUCUCAAGAGGCUGUGGCAUGCAGGUUUCCGAAAUGACCCCCAGCUGUGAACUCAAUGAUAGGUUUGGAACUGGGUUACCACAGAAUAGAACAUCCUUGACUCAACGCGCUUCAAUAAAAAUAAUGAAAAAUGCUU